GCUGCGGUGCUGCCAAGAUGACUCAGUCUCUCUCCAGCUUAGCUUGGCUCAGUUUCUACAAAGUUUAAGGAUUUAAAAUGCCUCCCGAACAAACCGAGGAGCGAAACUUCCGGUCAGCUCGGCUCAGCAGGCUCUGUACUUUCAGUUUGAGCCUUAAACUCGGCUCGGAGAGUUUUAAUGAAAUAUGGUAACUGCUACUGCUACAGCCACAAUAAGAACAGCAACUAUGAUUCCAGCUAUCAGAGCAGCAGGACUUCUAUUUCCACAUUCAGCAUCAGAGGAAAGUGUUCCUGUCUUUAUUUCUGUUGAACAGGUAUGGUGAUUGUAUACAGCCUUGUCUCACUCCUUUGCCAAUGUGGAACCCAUCCAUCCAUCCAUCCAUCCAUCCAUCCAUCCAUCCAUCCAUCCAUCCAUCCAUUUUCUAAGCCGC